rnacentral:rRNA from 1 species
UACGUAGGCAGCGAGCGUUGUUCGGAGUUACUGGGCGUAAAGCGUGCGUAGGCGGUGUCUUAAGUUUGUUGUGAAAUCUCCCGGCUUAACCGGGAGGGUGCGGCGAAUACUGAGAUGCUGGAGUGCGGGAGAGGUAAGCGGAAUUCCUGGUGUAGCGGUGAAAUGCGUAGAUAUCAGGAGGAACACCUGCGGUGUAGACGGCUUACUGGACCGUAACUGACGCUGAGGCACGAAAGCGUGGGGAGCGAACAGG